rnacentral:rRNA from 1 species
UAGACCGCCUGGGGAGUACGGCCGCAAGGUUAAAACUCAAAUGAAUUGACGGGGGCCCGCACAAGCGGUGGAGCAUGUGGUUUAAUUCGAUGCAACGCGAAGAACCUUACCUGGUCUUGACAUCCACGGAAGUUUUCAGAGAUGAGAAUGUGCCUUCGGGAACCGUGAGACAGGUGCUGCAUGGCUGUCGUCAGCUCGUGUUGUGAAAUGUUGGGUUAAGUCCCGCAACGAGCGCAACCCUUAUCCUUUGUUGCCAGCGAUUCGGUCGGGAACUCAAAGGAGACUGCCAGUGAUAAACUGGAGGAAGGUGGGGAUGACGUCAAGUCAUCAUGGCCCUUACGACCAGGGCUACACACGUGCUACAAUGGCGCAUACAAAGAGAAGCGACCUCGC